rnacentral:rRNA from 1 species
GCCUACGGGACGCAGCAGUGGGGAAUAUUGCACAAUGGGGGAAACCCUGAUGCAGCAACGCCGCGUGAGUGAGGAAGUAUUUCGGUAUGUAAAGCUCUAUCAGCAGGGAAGAAGAAAGACGGUACCUGACUAAGAAGCCCCGGCUAACUACGUGCCAGCAGCCGCGGUAAUACGUAGGGGGCAAGCGUUACCCGGAUUUACUGGGUGUAAAGGGAGCGUAGACGGUGCAGCAAGUCUGAUGUGAAAGGUCGGGGCCCAACCCCGGGACUGCAUUGGAACCUGUUGAACUGGAGUACCGGAGAGGG